CCUACGGGAGGCAGCAGUAGGGAAUCUUCCACAAUGCGCGAAAGCCUGAUGGAGCAACGCCGCGUGGGUGAAGAAGGUCUUCGGAUCGUAAAACACUGUUGUUAGAGAAGAAAGUGCGGGAGAGUAACUGUUCACGUUUCGACGGUACCUAACCAGAAAGCCACGGCUAACUACGUGCCAGCAGCCGCGGUAAUACGUAGGUGGCAAGCGUUAUCCGGAAUUAUUGGGCGUAAAGGGAACGCAGGCGGUCUUUUAAGUCUGAUGUGAAAGCCUUCGGCUUAACCGGGGUAGUGCAUUGGAAACUGGGAGACUUGAGUGUAGAAGAGGAGGGUGGAACUCGAUGUGUAGCGGUGAAAUGCGUAGAGAUAUGGAAGAACACCAGUGGCGAAAGCGGCCCUCUGGUCUGUAACUGACGCUGAGGUUCGAAAGCGUGGGUAGCAAACAGGAUUAGAUACCCGAGUAGUC
rnacentral:rRNA from 1 species